CCUACGGGAGGCAGCAGUAAGGAAUAUUGGUCAAUGGAGGCAACUCUGAACCAGCCAUGCCGCGUGAAGGAAGAAGGCGCUAUGCGUUGUAAACUUCUUUUGGGUGGGAAGAAAAUGGUCAAUUUAUUGACAACUGACGGUACCAUCAGAAUAAGCACCGGCUAACUCCGUGCCAGCAGCCGCGGUAAUACGGAGGGUGCAAGCGUUAUCCGGAAUCACUGGGUUUAAAGGGUGCGUAGGUGGCUUUAUAAGUCAGCUGUGAAAUGUCUGGGCUUAACCGAGGCAUUGCGGUUGAUACUGUAGGGCUUGAAUCAAGUUGAGGUAGCUAGAAUGUGACAUGUAGCGGUGAAAUGCAUAGAUAUGUCAUAGAAUACCAAUUGCGAAGGCAGGUUGCUAGACUUUGAUUGACACUGAGGCACGAAAGCGUGGGGAUCAAACAGGAUUAGAUACCCCUGGUAGUCCACGCCCUAAACGAUGCUUACUAGCUGUUUGGUAGAAAUAUUGGGCGGCUAAGCGAAAGCGAUAAGUAAGCCACCUGGGGAGUACGCCCGCCAAGGGUGAAACUCAAAGGAAUUGACGG
rnacentral:rRNA from 1 species